AAAUUGAAGAGUUUGAUCAUGGCUCAGAUUGAACGCUGGCGGCAGGCCUAACACAUGCAAGUCGAACGGUAACAGGAAGAAGCUUGCUUCUUUGCUGACGAGUGGCGGACGGGUGAGUAAUGUCUGGGAAACUGCCUGAUGGAGGGGGAUAACUACUGGAAACGGUAGCUAAUACCGCAUAACGUCGCAAGACCAAAGAGGGGGACCUUCGGGCCUCUUGCCAUCGGAUGUGCCCAGAUGGGAUUAGCUAGUAGGUGGGGUAACGGCUCACCUAGGCGACGAUCCCUAGCUGGUCUGAGAGGAUGACCAGCCACACUGGAACUGAGACACGGUCCAGACUCCUACGGGAGGCAGCAGUGGGGAAUAUUGCACAAUGGGCGCAAGCCUGAUGCAGCCAUGCCGCGUGUAUGAAGAAGGCCUUCGGGUUGUAAAGUACUUUCAGCGGGGAGGAAGGGAGUAAAGUUAAUACCUUUGCUCAUUGACGUUACCCGCAGAAGAAGCACCGGCUAACUCCGUGCCAGCAGCCGCGGUAAUACGGAGGGUGCAAGCGUUAAUCGGAAUUACUGGGCGUAAAGCGCACGCAGGCGGUUUGUUAAGUCAGAUGUGAAAUCCCCGGGCUCAACCUGGGAACUGCAUCUGAUACUGGCAAGCUUGAGUCUCGUAGAGGGGGGUAGAAUUCCAGGUGUAGCGGUGAAAUGCGUAGAGAUCUGGAGGAAUAC
rnacentral:rRNA from 1 species